rnacentral:lncRNA from 1 species
AAAAACUACCUCGACCAAACACUUUCACCUGAAGCGGGACAGACGGAUGGACAAACGAACGAACGAACGCACGGAUGCACAGACAAGAAAACAUAAUGCCCAUAAAUGGGGCAUACAAAUUUGUUGUUGAAAGUGAAAGUAGUGAUUUGGCAAAAAUGAAAGUAGGGUAGAGAUUAGAGGGAGGCAGGACCUUUUUCUGGACGUCGGGAUCGAUUGUUUUUAAGCUUGGGAUUUGGGGAUUGAUCAUUACGGGAUUUCGGGAUAUGAAUUUCUUUAAGUUCUGCAUCUCGGGUUU